rnacentral:rRNA from 1 species
AGUGAACGCUGGCGGUAGGCCUAACACAUGCAAGUCGAGCGGACGCACAGUAAGAGCUCGCCUCUACGGGUGGCGGGUGACGGACGAGUGACACGUGCAUAAGCAACUUAUUAUUCUGGGGGGAUUACGGAGGGAAACUUACACUACUACCUAAUAUAUUCUACGGCAUAAAGCAAUAGUUCUACAGACCUUUGCUGUCUCUAAUAGAUGAAGUCGCGCCGGAUUAGCUAGUUGGUAAGGUAACGGCCCACCAAGGCGACGAUGCGUAGCUGAUCUGAGAGGAUGAUCAGCCACACUGGAACUGAGACACGGUCCAGACUCCUACGGGAGGCAGCAGUGGGGAAUAUUGGACAAUGGGCGCAAGCCUGAUGCAGCCAUACCGCGUGAGUGAAGAAGGUCUUCGGGUUGUAAAGCCCUGUUGUUAGGAAAGAAAAGCAGCAUAUUAAACCCCCGCUGUUCUGACGGUACCCAAAGAAUAAGCACCGGCUAACUUCGUG